rnacentral:lncRNA from 1 species
AAUAAAAGUUGUAUGUAUAUUACAUGCAUGCUUGUGAGUGUAAUUAAUAUAUAUAUACAUAUACACACUACAACAAAAACGGUCUAUAACGACACUUUUAAAUAUAGGUACAUGUCAAAAAAAGUGCUGCUAGCUAAAAUUACUGACACUUUUAAAAAGUGUUGUUAUAUGUGGGGUCGCUAGGUAUAUAGUGACAGUUAAAGAGUGUCGCGAUAACCUAAAAGAGUGCUGCUAAUUUACAAACACUUAUUUAAGCAUUUAUCAACCGCCGAAACUCUAUCUCGUUGGCUGCGGUGGCGGAGGAGGACGACAGUAAAAGCUCUUCGUCUAGAAUUUCAGUGGAUUGAGUGAAGAGAGAACAAAAUAUGGUAAUUGAUUUUUCUUUUUUUUUCUUUUCUGUUUGUAAUCGGGCCAAGUGAACCGGAUGUGGUGGGUUGAGUAGAGUAAUCUUUUAUUUUUAGUUAGAUUGGAUUUUAUAUUUAGGCAUUAGUAGAUGUAUUUUUAAGUUUUAGUAUAAAUGGAACAUUUAUUCAAAAAUAUCUCAAACAUGUGUUCCUAUAAUCUAAUUCUGUUGUAGUGACAUGGGCGUACGUUUAUUU